GGGCAUUUAGUUUAGGGGUAUAACAUCCGCUUCGCAUUAAUCAAAUGUAUGCGGAAGGUCGUGAGUUCGAUUCUUACAAUGUCCA
rnacentral:tRNA from 1 species